CAUCGAUGAAGAACGUAGCGAACUGCGAUACUUGGUGUGAAUUGCAGAAUCCCGUGAACCAUCGAGUCUUUGAACGCAAGUUGCGCCCGAAGCCUUUUGGCCAGGGCACGUUUGCCUGGGUGUCA
rnacentral:rRNA from 1 species